rnacentral:rRNA from 1 species
GACAGAGGAUGCAAGCGUUAUCCGGAAUGAUUGGGCGUAAAGCGUCUGUAGGUGGCUUUUUAAGUCUGCCGUCAAAUCCCAGGGCUUAACCCUGGACAGGCGGUGGAAACUACCAAGCUGGAGUACGGUAGGGGCAGGGGGAAUUUCCGGUGGAGCGGUGAAAUGCGUAGAGAUCGGAAAGAACACCAACGGCGAAAGCACUCUGCUGGGCCGACACUGACACUGAGGGACGAAAGCGUGGGGAUCAAACAGG